GUACUUGCUUCGGCAAUACAUAUACUAAAAUUGAAACGAUACAGAGAAGAUCAGCAUGGCCCCUGCGCCAAGGAUGACACGGAAUCGUGAAACGUUCCACAUUUUU